rnacentral:rRNA from 1 species
AAUGAACGCUGGCGGCAGGCCUAACACAUGCAAGUCGAACGCACCUUUCGGGGUGAGUGGCGGACGGGUGAGUAACGCGUGGGAAUAUGCCCUUUGGUACGGAAUAGUCCUGGGAAACUGGGGGUAAUACCGUAUGUGCCCUUCGGGGGAAAGAUUUAUCGCCAAAGGAUUAGCCCGCGUUGGAUUAGGUAGUUGGUGGGGUAAUGGCCUACCAAGCCGACGAUCCAUAGCUGGUUUGAGAGGAUGAUCAGCCACACUGGGACUGAGACACGGCCCAGACUCCUACGGGAGGCAGCAGUGGGGAAUCUUAGACAAUGGGGGAAACCCUGGUCUAGCCAUGCCGCGUGAUCGAUGAAGGCCUUAGGGUUGUAAAGAUCUUUCAGAUGGGAAGAUAAUGACGGUACCAUCAGAAGAAGCCCCCGGCUAACUACGUG